rnacentral:rRNA from 1 species
GACGACGCUGGCGGCGUGCUUAACACAUGCAAGUCGAACGAGAAUCUACGGAUCGAGGAUUCGUCCAAGUGAAGUAGAGGACAGUGGCGGACGGGUGAGUAACGCGUGAGGAACCUGCCUUUCAGAGGGGGACAACAGUUGGAAACGACUGCUAAUACCGCAUGACACAUUGGGGUCGCAUGGCCCUGAUGUCAAAGAUUUAUCGCUGAAAGAUGGCCUCGCGUCUGAUUAGCUAGUUGGUGAGGUUAAACGGGCCCACCAAGGCGACGAUCAGUAGCCGGACUGAGAGGUUGACCGGCCACAUUGGGACUGAGAUACGGCCCAGACUCCUACGGGAGGCAGCAGUGGGGAAUAUUGGGCAAUGGGCGCAAGCCUGACCCAGCAACGCCGCGUGAAGGAAGAAGGCUUUCGGGUUGUAAACUUCUUUUGUCAGGGACGAGUAGAAGACGGUACCUGACGAAUAAGCCACGGCUAACUACGUG